CGGGACCUCAGGUCAGGCGGGGCUACCCCG
rnacentral:rRNA from 1 species